CAAUAGCAUCCUGCAAUACGUGACGGAAAACCAAGCAUUGUUAGUCAAAUGUAACCAUGCAUUAUGCCACUUACAAUAUUUUUUACCCUUUAUUUGUUCAGGGUUUGGCAAUUUGUGCUUAUCGCUCAGCUUUAUUUGCUUAUCCCUAUAUAAUUUAUCGAAUAUAAGGUCAGCUUUGGUCACAUCGAACGAGAACGUUCUAGCCUUUAUGUUUCCAUCCUUUAUGGGCUCAUCUUUGCCCGAUGGUCUAGGCUUGGCCAUUAUGGGACAAGUAUAUGUAUCCCCUUUUACCAAUUCGGCCUGAUCGUAUGAUUCGUCAUCGAUGGUAUGAACGUCAAAAUUUG
rnacentral:lncRNA from 1 species